AUUAUUUAUGCGUUUUUCCUGUGAAUGGUACUAAACUGUAUUACUAAUCUAUGUGUUUAGGUUCGAUUCAAAUCGAUCAGUGAUUAUUUUUAUCUUGUGAUCAUUUUCAGUUGGAUAAUGCGUUUUGUUGAUGGAUUUUUUGGAGAUUUGUAUUGGUAUUACAUCGAGUUUAAAUUUCUUUUGAAUUUCAAUCUCCAAUUCUUCGAAACUCCAGAUUCUGGUUGAUUCCAAUUGAUUGUAAUUAUUUUGUACCGGUGAUAAACACUUUUAUUUAUAAUUUACUCUUUUUUUAAUGAGUGAUAUUUUCUUAACUAAUGGAAUUAACAUUCACAAAUCACAAAGAAACAGCAAUGGCUCAUCUGGUUAAAAUCAUGACGAACCCACAAUCGAUACAUAACAUGGCUCCACUACUGUCAUCAAAUUAUCAAGCAAAACAGUCGGAAAUCUAAAUUUUCCGAGCAAAGUAAUUCAAUCUUAAAGAUCUUCAAGUGGUUUCACUAAAUUAUUUCAAGCUGCAUGACAAUGGCUCUGAUCACUUCCCUGGAUCAUUGGUUUCAAUUAAGUGAAAUAUUAAGCGUAUUUUAUUUGGUUCGGGUUAAUCUUGGUUGUAAUCCGUUUGUCGAGUGAUUAUUUUUGGUGAUGAAUUGGGUUAUUGAGUCAAUGAAUGGCCAGUAACUUGAUUGUUUAGGAUAUUCUGUUAUUAACUAAUGAAGAUCAUGAUGAGACGAGAGCCGGAUAAACAUUGGUGGAUAUUAAAGCAAAGGAUAAAAUUUAUUACCGCAAAUUAGCUCAAGAUUACCUUUUGAUUAGCAUAAAAUGGUCAGCUCACAAUUGACUUGAUUAUAAGGAUGGACGGACGAUUGUUCAUUGGAUAUCAUCAAGAAAAGUUUAUAUUUUAAGAAACAUUUUGUUGUCAAAAAAGUGAAAUGAGAUUCACUUUUGAGAUUAAACAGUUACCAUGAUACAGUUAUCUUGGUCGCCAUCAACAUCAUCAUCAUGUAUUAUUAUCAUCAUGACUAAAUGAACUUUAAGCCUGAAAUGAAGCAGCAUCAACAAGAGCAACAAGUUAACAAUUAACUAUAACUCACAACAACACAAAAAGCUCAACAAGAAGGAAAAAAAAUGAAAGUGAAAAUAAACUUCAAUCCAAGCUUUUCAUUUCCUUCAUUUUAAUGAUGAUUAUUACCAUUUCUGAUUAUUACAGUUAACCAUCUUGACCAUUGUAAUACCAUCAUCAACCAUAAAUUGACUGCUUCUUCAUUGUAUGAUUAUAGUGUUUACAAUUUGGAUGAAAAAGGAAUCAGUGAAAUCACAUUUUAAAAAUUCACUAUUGAUCUGACCAUAAAUGGUGAAUCCUGAUUACAAUUGGAUCUCUCAAUCAAUUGAAAUACUUUCAAAAUUAAUCAAUUAUAAUGGUGAAUCAUUAUUUCCAUUUAUUCUCAGGCUAACAAUCAGACAAACCUUUGAAUUGAAUUAAUGGCCAAGUUGAGAUGAAGAUAAUUAACCAGAUGAAAAUGUUCAUUUAUCAUGAUAAAUGUCAUUCCCAGAUGCGAAUUAAACAUUCAAACAAACGCAAAUAAUCACUUGAAUUGUAAUGCAUUGACUGAUGAACAAUAUUAUAAUUAAUUUUGAUUGAUUACAUGUUAACUUGUGAAAAUUGUUGCUGUUUUGAGGAAACCUUUACUUGGAAAUAAGUGUUAGCCAAAGAUUAAAAUAUUGAACCAUUUUA